GACACCUCCAGCGCGUCGCCGCCUGCUGCCACGCCCCACCCUGCCUCACCGCUCGCCGCCGCCCACCGCCGCCCACCCCGCUGGCGCGCCUACCCCUACCCCGAGUGCCCCCACACGCGUAGCCUUCCACUGCCGGCGACCCGUGGCCUGCCACUGCCGACGACGAGGAACUGUCGGAUCUCGAUGAAUCCGGUGGGGAAUGGCGCGUAGGCAGCGAAUCUGGAAGGAAGGCGGCCGGGGCUUGGAGCAUGACGGCUGGCCGGUACGCCAUGGCAUUGGGGGGAGGGGGGCGUCCCAUGCUCCGCCCGUUUGUGUCCGCGCGAGGAGCUCACCCCCAAAGAACUCCUCGGGCGUCCUGCGGGCCCAGGCCGGAGGCGGCAGGCCCCAGCGCGGGGGCCGACAGGAAGGGGUCGAUUCGGAUCUCCGGGGCCGACAACGCGCCUGGCGCCGGCGGGGGACGCGGGAGGGCAGCAGCUCACGGACGAGGAGGCCCCCGCGGCGUGGGGGGCCUCGAGGCCGGCGCGGGCGGCGGGAGGGGGGACUCGCCGUACCAGGGCUAUGAGGUGCAGCGUCUGGCGAGGUUGGUGGACCACGCGCUGCCCUUCUCCCUGCUCCUCCUCGGCGUCUUCAUCCGCCAGCACCUGCAAGAGAGUUGCUGGUCAGAAGAUGAUGGCGAGUUCCUCAUUCCAAUUGAGUUUAUAUUGUGUAGGUUUCUUCGUAAUGAUUUGGAUUACCUCAGUCAUGUUCAACUCCAAUGAUAUCUUGCGCAAGCAGACCGCUCUUAAGGCUACAAGGUUGCGGGAGCGACCCUGCCAUUGUCAUGACGGCUGCUCCUUCUGGCUGGAUCGAGGCAUGAAGACCUGUGGGAUCCCCUCCUUCGGCAGGACCUCCUCAUCUGGAGGACUGCAUGUGAUGAGUUAAGGCACAAGAAGAUCUACGACCAUUUUAGCUCCAGCAGUUAGUACACAUCCAAUCAACAGUGCAUUUUCACGACCCAGGCUUCUGAAUUCUGACUGACAGGCUCGCAGGCACAGCCACAUAUAAUCUCACGCAUUCAAAAUGCUAGCUACAUGAAAUACGCCCAGAUUUACGAGUAGAAAUCCAAGAUUCCUCCUCUAUGUUCAAUUUUCCUAAUAGGAAGAACCAUACCAACAGCCCUUGAACUAGAUUUGUCGAAGCAGCAUACACACAUAUUCAUGUUUUACAUUUUAAAUUUGAAGACCAAGGCAACUCCCGAUCAAUUUAAUUGGAGGCAUUGCAGUCCAAUUGUUCUAAGGAUUGGAACCAGACGUGUGGCUCAAUACUGCUUGGAACAUCUGGAGGACCUUUGCAAUCUUAUCAAGCUUGACACUAAACUGGCACUCUUACUUGAUCCCAUAUUACUCCUUCGAACAAUUUGUGCGCAAAGUUGAGGCAAUUGGGGCCAAUAAUCGUGUUAGAAUAAACUUCUUUCUUCCUUUUUCCAUACUGUGGGGCAACAGGAUCUGAGUCCCACUACAUCGCCCUUUGCCUUUCAAGGUAUGUUCUUCUUCCGGGAUUGCAGAGAGCAUGGACCACCAAAUGGAAGGAGAUGCCAUCCUUGACUGUCGUUGUCUUUGGCAUGUUGCUACCAUUUUUUAAUCCUUGCACUGCAGAGACCUCAGUCUAUCCAUGGAUUUGCUAGGAAAAACCAUCUCCGGAAAAAUAGGGCCAAAUUUGAAUUCUAAUAGAGUUGAAGAGACGCAUAGAGCAAGAGACAGGGAUAAUACUUCCUCGUGGGCUUCCUGAGAAUCUACAAUGAAGAAUAAGAAGGGUGUAAUAACUAAGUAUGCAUGUCAUAACUAAUUCUAUUGAAAAUAGUUAUUCAGGAAAAUUAAGCUAUAUUGAAAUGUUGCAUGGUUCAGAUAUUGGGUCUAUGAAGAUUUGUUUAUGCCAUAAAAAUGCAUAAAUAAAGUCUCGUGUGGCUAUGUAAUUCACUUGUUAUAUGUCAAGUUCGAGCUCCUAAGAACAGGGUGAAACUGUUUGUUCCGAAGAACAGAUGUCACUGCUCGGGUUCUCUUUUGUUGUACUUUCUUUCCGCUUUCCUUCUUAGCCCCUUUUUAAUUAACUUAGUUCGAACCCCCCUCUUUAGGCCCCUCUGAUGGUUAGACUGUUAAUAAUCUUUUAGAUUUCCACUAGGCGGCCUUUGUAUAUACAGAUAUUCCAUUUUAUUAAUUAAUUCUACAAGCCAUGCUUUGGAUUGGCUCA